ACCACUCCAUAAACAAAAGGAACACCCAGCUGUGAGAACUGGCUUCUCAGCAUUCGUCCCAGCAGAGGCUCUUCCGGGGCUGGGUUCUGAUGGUUGCCCUGUUUCAGCACAGCCCUUAUUGGCAGGCAGACGGCACGGGCACAGCCACAGGCUGAAGCAGGUAUUUACCAAGCAGGGACUUUGGGCCAGGUCCGUGCUAGGCUCUGCAGGUGGACCAGCCAGCCCUGACCUCCAUGGUGUCGCUUCUCAUGGGAGAGGCUGCACAGCAGUCAUUGAGAAAAUGAAGAAACACACAGGUACUUUCAGAUGCUGA